AUGUAUAUACAGAGAGUGGCUUUAACAUCAUAUUUAUUUGCCUGUGUCUCCACAGAAAGCCGUGAGACUUACCAGAGAAGGGUGCUGUCCAUCUUCAGCAUUGCCUCAGGGAUCUGUUUUCUCGGAGUGGCAUGCAUGGCUCUCUAUCGCCGCAACAAUGCUACAAAUCUCAUGGGUUCUCCCCUCCUCAAGGGUGCAGCAGUCUGUCAGCUGGCGCACCAACAGCAGCUCCACCGACUCUCAACAGAGCACUCCCCAAAGGGAAAAGCUUCAGGUACUCAUACAGUAGAACAUCUUCUCUUGUUCUUCCUGCCCCGCUUGUUUAAAUGGGCCGCUCCAGUCUACAAAAGUGGAUGCAGCCAAGUAAAAUGUAC
rnacentral:lncRNA from 1 species